UGGGGAAUAUUGCACAAUGGGCGAAAGCCUGAUGCAGCAACGCCGCGUGAGUGAUGAAGGCCUUCGGGUUGUAAAGCUCUGUCUUCUGGGACGAUAAUGACGGUACCAGAGGAGGAAGCCACGGCUAACUACGUGCCAGCAGCCGCGGUAAUACGUAGGUGGCAAGCGUUGUCCGGAUUUACUGGGCGUAAAGGAUGCGUAGGCGGAUACUUAAGUCAGAUGUGAAAAUCCCGGGCUUAACUUGGGAACUGCAUUUGAAACUGGGUAUCUAGAGUGCGGGAGAGGAAAGUGGAAUUCCUAGUGUAGCGGUUAAAUGCGUAGAGAUUAGGAAGAACACCGGUGGCGAAGGCGACUUUCUGGACCGUAACUGACGCUGAGGCAUGAAAGCGUGGGGAGCAAACA
rnacentral:rRNA from 1 species